GUGCCAACAGCCGGGGAAAUACGUAAGGUGCAAGCGUUACUCGGAAUAACGGGGCGGUAAGCGUGCGCAGGCGGUUUUGUAAGUCUGUCGUGAAAUCCCCGGGCUCAACCUGGGAAUUGCGAUGGAGACUGCAAGGCUAGAAUCUGGCAGAGGGGGGUAGAAUUCCACGUGUAGCAGUGAAAUGCGUAGAGAUGUGGAGGAACACCGAUGGCGAAGGCAGCCCCCUGGGUCAAGAUUGACGCUCAUGCACGAAAGCGUGGGGAGCAAACAGGAUUAGAUACCCUGGUAGUCC
rnacentral:rRNA from 1 species